UACGUAGGGGGCAAGCGUUAUCCGGAUUUACUGGGUGUAAAGGGAGCGUAGACGGAGCAGCAAGUCUGAUGUGAAAGGCAGGGGCUCAACCCCCGGACUGCAUUGGAAACUGUUGAUCUUGAGUACCGGAGAGGUAAGCGGAAUUCCUAGUGUAGCGGUGAAAUGCGUAGAUAUUAGGAGGAACACCAGUGGCGAAGGCGGCUUACUGGACGGUAACUGACGUUGAGGCUCGAAAGCGUGGGGAGCAAACAGGAUUAGAAACCCGAGUAGUCC
rnacentral:rRNA from 1 species